GUGCUCGCCUUGGCAGCACACAUACUAAAAUUGGAACAAUAUAGAGAAGACUGGCAUGGCUCCUGCGCAAGGAUGACAUGCAAAUUUAUGAAGCAUUCCAUAUUAUU
ensembl:snRNA U6 U6 spliceosomal RNA